rnacentral:rRNA from 1 species
AUACGGAGGGUGCAAGCGUUAUUCGGAAUCACUGGGCGUAAAGGACGCGUAGGCGGGUUGGCAAGUCAGAUGUGAAAUCCUACAGCUUAACUGUAGAACUGCAUUUGAAACUGCUAACCUAGAGUAUGGGAGGGGGAGAUGGAAUUAGUGGUGUAGGGGUAAAAUCCGUAGAUAUCACUAGGAAUACCGAAGCGAAGGCGAUCUCCUGGAACAUAACUGACACUAAGGCGUGAAAGCGUGGGGAGCAAACAGGAUUAGAAACCCUAGUAGUCC